rnacentral:hammerhead_ribozyme from 1 species
AUCCAGUUGACGAGUCCCAAAUAGGACGAAAUACUUGUCGUGGAU